rnacentral:rRNA from 1 species
GAAUAUUGCACAAUGGGCGAAAGCCUGAUGCAGCAACGCCGCGUGCGCGAUGAAGGCCUUCGGGUCGUAAAGCGCUUUUCGGGGGGAUGAGGAAGGACAGUACCCCCGGAAUAAGUCACGGCUAACUACGUGCCAGCCACCGCGGUAAGACGUAGGUGGCGAGCGUUAUCCGGAUUUACUGGGCGUAAAGCGCGUGCAGGUGGUUCGAUAAGUCGGGCGUGAAAUCUCCUGGCUCAACUGGGAGAGGCCGUCCGAUACUAUCGGACUUGAGGGCAGUAGAGGGAGGUGGAAUUCCGGGUGUAGUGGUGAAAUGCGUAGAUAUCCGGAGGAACACCAGUGGCGAAGGCGGCCUCCUGGACUGCCCCUGACACUCAGACGCGAAAGCUAGGGGAGCGAACGGG